rnacentral:rRNA from 1 species
CAAUAGCGUAUAUUAAAGUUGUUGCGGUUAAAAAGCUCGUAGUUGGAUUUCUGCUGAGGAUGACCGGUCCGCCCUCCGGGUGAGUAUCUGGCUCAGCCUUGGCAUCUUCCUGAAGAACGUAACUGCACUUGACUGUGUGGUGCGGUAUUUAGGACAUUUACUUUGAGGAAAUUAGAGUGUUUCAAGCAAGCGCACGCCUUGAAUACAUUAGCAUGGAAUAAUAAGAUAGGACCUCGGUUCUAUUUUGUUGGUUUCUAGAGCUGAGGUAAUGAUUGAUAGGGAUAGUUGGGGGCAUUCGUAUUUAACUGUCAGAGGUGAAAUUCCUGGAUUUGUUAAAGACGGACUACUGCGAAAGCAUUUGCCAAGGAUGUUUUCAUUGA